rnacentral:rRNA from 1 species
GAUGAACGCUGGCGGCGUGCCUAAUACAUGCAAGUCGAGCGAACAGACGAGGAGCUUGCUCCUCUGACGUUAGCGGCGGACGGGUGAGUAACACGUGGAUAACCUACCUAUAAGACUGGGAUAACUUCGGGAAACCGGAGCUAAUACCGGAUAAUAUAUUGAACCGCAUGGUUCAAUAGUGAAAGACGGUUUUGCUGUCACUUAUAGAUGGAUCCGCGCUGCAUUAGCUAGUUGGUAAGGUAACGGCUUACCAAGGCAACGUUGCGUAGCCGAGCUGAGAGGGGUAGCGGCCACGCUGGAGCUGAGAGACGGUCCAGACUCCUACGGGAGGCAGCAGUAGGGAAUCAUCCGCAAGGGGCGAAAGUCUCACGAAGCAACGCAGCGUGAGUGAUGAAGGUCGUCGGAGCGGAACUCUGUUAUUAGGGAAGAACAAAUGUGUAAGUAAAUAUGCACGUCUUGACGGUACCUAAUCAGAAAGCCACGGCUAACUACGUG